GAUGAAGAACGCAGCGAAAUGCGAUAAGUAAUGUGAAUUGCAGAAUUCAGUGAAUCAUCGAAUCUUUGAACGCAUCUUGCGCUCCUUGGUAUUCUGAGGAGCAUGCCUGUUUGAGUGUCAUUAAAUUCUCAACUACACUGACUUUGAAUUGGUGUGGCUUGGAUUUUGGGGGAAAAUUGUUGUGGGCUUUUUGUAUAGUCUGCUCCCCUGAAAUUGAUUAGCGGUACCUUUGUGGAACUGUCUACAGGUGUGAUAAUUAUCUACAUCUUAGACAUCUGCUGGAAUGCUGCUUUCUAAACCUUACUUGUAUUGACAAUCUUGACCUCAAAUCAGGUAGGACUACCCGCUGAACUUAAGCAUAUCAAUAAGCGGAGGA
rnacentral:misc_RNA from 1 species